CCCAAUAUUUGCCUUACCUGGGCCCAUGGGGUGUCUCUCCUUCUGCAGGUUCUCCACCCCAUGGAGCAGCCUACUCCCCUCUUCAAGGGUCUGGGUCCCCACAGUGGUCCUCUCCACCCUAGCAAGGGUCUGGCACCUCUGCAGGCAACAUCCAGAAUCAAAAUGGCAUCCUCUGUGCAGCAUGACCUCGCAGCUACAAGGACACGAUUAUCGUUUUAAAGAGCAGGAUGGUGUCCUCAGCACAGCAUGAUCAUGGCAGAUAAGAUCUUCUCCUGGCUUGGAAGCAGAAUGGAUGACUCUAAAUGAAGGGACAGCAGCACUGAAGUCUUGAGUAAACUACCGACUGGUUAGAUGAACUUCACAGAAGUCUUGUGGGCCUUGUCUAGCUAUAUGUUUUAGAAAUGUGCAUCCGUCCAUCUCUGAGUCUGUAGGUUCUAGAACUCCUCCUAAAUGGUAAAUGCUAGGACCACCAAAUUCGAAUAAAUUGACUUUUAUUGUAUCUGCGCGUUAGAAAUCUUAAGGGAUGAAAAGCCUUUUGCUACAUGGCUGCUUGAUAAUUGGAAUCAACAACUCAAGGAAUUAAGGAGCUGAGAUGCAGCUACGGAGGCAAAGAAAGGCCAAGUGAGUUGUCCAAGUCGCAGAGUGAUUGCAGUGGCAGAGACAAGAAAAGAGUCCAGUCUUCUGUGUUCCAGCCUUUCUUACCACCCUCUGUAUCCCAACAUUACCCAAAACAACAUUAAUGGGGGUACUAAGACACUUGCACCGCUUAUUGACAAGAAGUUGUGGGUUGUGUGUAA